UUGAGGGGAUGGGUUAUCACAGCAUGUUUACUAUACCUCCUCUAGGGUUAAGCGGGGGUUUAGCUCUCUUCUGGAAAGAUGGAGACUGCCCACAUCAUGGUUUCAGUGAGGUACAACUCUUUGGUACCUUCUUCAGAUGAGUCGAUUGGAGAUACCAGAUGGCUCUAGAUGCAGCGAGUAAUGGUAACUUCAACACCGUUACCCAGCUGAUGCUACAGCUCUAAUAGAGAACCUCGCUUGCAGCAAAAGUGAUUAUAGGUUUUUAGUCAAUUAUCCUAAAACACCAAUCAUGUCGUUGUGGUAUUUUAGGUUGUCAAUCCAAAUAGAUGUGAUGCUAACAAUCAAGAUGUGAUCAGAAGUCACUAAGUCAAGCCAAGCAAUAACAGGGUUUGGUGUGUUCUAGCAGUCCUAAGUGAACAUGCAGAAAACAGAAAAUCAAGCAGAAACAGUAAAACACUCGACCAACACAGCUCAUUGUUGAGCACUGGGUGUGGUCGAGUGACAGGUCGAGUAAUAAAUAGAAAAUAUAACAGGAAUACUCGACUGCACAGUGUGUUGCCAGACAACUGGGUGGUCGAGUACGAGGUCGAGUAAUAGGAGAGAAAUGCAAAUUCUAAGCAAAAGGUAACAAGAUGAAGUAAACGAUAGUAGAGUAAAGAAUUAAAUCAAUCAGAUAAAGAAUUCCCGAGGAUGGGGUAAUUGAGUAGUUUCGUUUCCUCAGUUUAUAGGUGAUUGACAUGCUCAAUACAACAAGUUCAUUAACCAAAUCUAAGUGCCACCGCAACAGAGACCCUCAAGUUAAACUAGUCCCAGACUCAAUCACCACUGACGAGAGCUAAGCUAACAGGCAUUACGAAUCAACAAGUUAAAGCCAAAACGAACCCUGCAACCAAUACCUUGGUAUAGAGCCACGAAUCUCUGGAAUUAGUGGUUCAAACAUUUCAUCGAACACCUUUUGGGCGCGGAAAUGUCUGGGCUCAAAUUCCAGUUGAUCAGAAAGCAAUAGGCAUUAAGAACAACUAAUUGAAGGGAUCUAUCAAUCAAACUCAACCACCUAGCAUACCGAGAAUUCUAAACUUCUCUAACCCAUCCUAGGAAACCUAUUCACUACUCAGACAUCAUUGCAAAGAACAUAAACGUUGAAUAGAAUGAAAACAUGAUAACAACAGAGUAAUAGCAAGAUGAUAACAGGAUGAACAACAGUAAACGAAAUCAAAAGCGAAUGCUGAAUACCGAAUAAAUUAAGAGAAAUCCGGAUUACAAAAAGUCAAGAACACAGUGUCUGCGGAAUAAAACUUAGAUAAACGAAAA
rnacentral:sRNA from 1 species